UACAGAGGGUGCAAGCGUUGUUCGGAAUCAUUGGGCGUAAAGGGCGUGUAGGCGGUAUGUUAAGUCAUGUGUGAAAUCCCUCGGCUCAACCGGGGAACGACGCAUGAAACUGGCAAGCUAGAGUACCAAAGAGGGUGGUGGAAUUCCCGGUGUAGCGGUGAAAUGUGUAGAGAUCGGGAGGAACACCGGUGGCGAAGGCGGGUCUCUGGGCAUCUCCUGACGCUGAGGCGCGAAAGCGUGGGGAGCAAACGGG
rnacentral:rRNA from 1 species